ACUCCUACGGGAGGCAGCAGUGGGGAAUAUUGCACAAUGGGGGAAACCCUGAUGCAGCCAUGCCGCGUGUGUGAAGAAGGCCUUGGGUUGUAAAGCACUUUCAGUAGGGAGGAAGGUAGUGUAGUUAACACCUGCAUUAUUUGACGUUACCUACAGAAGAAGCACCGGCUAACUCCGUGCCAGCAGCCGCGGUAAUACGGAGGGUGCGAGCGUUAAUCGGAAUUACUGGGCGUAAAGCGCAUGCAGGCGGCCUGUUAAGUCAGAUGUGAAAGCCCGGGGCUUAACCUCGGAAUUGCAUUUGAAACUGGCAGGCUAGAGUCUUGUAGAGGGGUUAGAAUUUCAGGUGUAG
rnacentral:rRNA from 1 species